rnacentral:rRNA from 1 species
UACGUAGGGGGCAAGCGUUAAUCGGAAUUACUGGGCGUAAAGCGUGCGCAGGUGGUUCGCUAAGACAGAUGUGAAAGCCCCGGGCUCAACCUGGGAACUGCGUUUGUGACUGGCGGGCUAGAGUGCGGAAGAGGGCGGUGGAAUUCCACGUGUAGCAGUGAAAUGCGUAGAGAUGUGGAGGAACACCGAUGGCGAAGGCAGCCUCCUGGUCUUGCACUGACGCUCAUGCACGAAAGCGUGGGGAGCAAACAGG